rnacentral:tRNA from 200 species
GCGGGUGUAGCUCAGGGGUAGAGCACAACCUUGCCAAGGUUGGGGUCGUGGGUUCGAAUCCCAUCGCCCGCUCCA